AGAAAAACAAAUAGGAUGCCAAAUUAACACACGACCUCACCAGUGCACAAGAUAUCUGUUGCUGGAUCAUGUUUGUUCAUCUGAUUUAACAGCUGAUAACCCUAUGCGCAUGUGAGGUUGUAAGCACAUAANNNNNNNAAUGCUAAUGAACAACCACGAACAGCAGCAGCAACAGCUUCAGUUUAGGUCAGCUUGCAGCUUGAUAGACAUGUACAAUAGUGUAAGAAGAGCACCUUGUGGGAG
rnacentral:misc_RNA from 1 species